GAUGAAGAACGCAGCGAAAUGCGAUAAGUAAUGUGAAUUGCAGAAUUCAGUGAGUCAUCGAAUCUUUGAACGCACAUUGCGCCCUGUGGUAUUCCGCAGGGCAUGCCUGUUCGAGCGUCAUUUCAACCCUCAAGCCCCGCUUGGUGUUGGGCCCCGCCCGCCGUGGCCGGCCCUAAAGACAGUGGCGGCGCCGCCUGGCCCUCAGCGUAGUACAGCUCUCGCUCCAGGGUCCGGCGGCCGCCUGCCAGAACCCCCCCAACUCUGUGGUUGACCUCGGAUCAGGUAGGGAUACCCGCUGAACUUAAGCAUAUCAAUAAGCGGAGGA
rnacentral:misc_RNA from 1 species